AAAUGAAUAGACGGGACCCCGCACAAGCGGUGGAUCAUGUUGUUUAAUUCGAAGAUACACGAAAAACCUUACCAGGUCUUGACAUACUCUGCAAAGGCUUAGAAAUAAGUUCGGAGGUUAACAGAUGUACAGGUGGUGCACGGUUGUCGUCAGCUCGUGUCGUGAGAUGUUGGGUUAAGUCCCGCAACGAGCGCAACCCUUAUUGCUAGUUACCAUCAUUAAGUUGGGGACUCUAGCGAGACUGCCAAUGAUAAAUUGGAGGAAGGUGGGGAUGACGUCAAAUCAUCAUGCCCCUUAUGACCUGGGCUACAAACGUGAUACAAUGGCUGGAACAAAGAGAAGCGAGAGGGUGACCUGGAGCGAAACUCAUAAAAACAGUCUCAGUUCGGAUUGAAGUCUGCAACUCGACUUCAUGAAGUAGGAAUCGCUAGUAAUCGCAAAUCAGCAUGUUGCGGUGAAUACGUUCUCGGGGUUUGUACACACCGCCCGU
rnacentral:rRNA from 1 species